rnacentral:rRNA from 1 species
CCCUCUGUCCCUAUCUACUAUCUAGCGAAACCACUGCCAAGGGAACGGGCUUGGAAAAAUCAGCGGGGAAAGAAGACCCUGUUGAGCUUGACUCUAGUCUGGCACUGUAAGGAGACAUGAGAGGUGUAGCAUAAGUGGGAGACGGUAUCCAUCCCGUCGCCGGUGAAAUACCACUACUUUCAUCGUUUCUUUACUUACUUGGUUAGGCGGAAGGCGUACGUCGAGGGUUUUUAACCCCGGCGGUACGGUCUUCUCGCGCCAAGCGUUCAAGGGUUGCCGGCGGACAGAAGUCCGGGUCGUUGUCGGUGAGUCGGGUCACCCGGCUUGUCCGGGUUCCCGGCCCGGCAUGGCUUUGAACUCUCUGAACCCGACCGGCAAACACUCCCUAGCGUGAUCCGAUCCGAGGACACUGCCAGGCGGGGAGUUUGACUGGGGCGGUACAUCUGUCAAAGAAUAACGCAGGUGUCCUAAGGCCAGCUCAGCGAGGACAGAAACCUCGCGUAGAGCAAAAGGGCAAAUGCUGGCUUGAUCCCGAUGUUCAGUACGCAUAGGGACUGCGAAAGCACGGCCUAUCGAUCCUUUUGGCUUGAAGAGUUUUCAGCAAGAGGUGUCAGAAAAGUUACCACAGGGAUAA